rnacentral:rRNA from 1 species
UAGGGAAUCUUCGGCAAUGGGGGGAACCCUGACCGAGCAACGCCGCGUGAGUGAAGAAGGUUUUCGGAUCGUAAAGCUCUGUUGUUAAGGAAGAACGAGUGUGAGAAUGGAAAGUUCAUGCUGUGACGGUACUUAACCAGAAAGGGACGGCUAACUACGUGCCAGCAGCCGCGGUAAUACGUAGGUGGCAAGCGUUGUCCGGAUUUAUUGGGCGUAAAGCGAGCGCAGGCGGUCAAUUAAGUCUGAUGUGAAAGCCCCCGGCUCAACCGGGGGAUGGCAUUUGAAACUGGUUGGAUUGAGUGCAGGAAAGGAGAGUGGAAUUCCCAGUGUAGCGGUGAAAUGCGUAGAUAUUUGGAAGAACACCAGUGGCGAAGGCGGCUCUCUGGGCUGUUACUGACGCUGAGGCUCGAAAGCGUGGGUAGCAAACAGGA